UCACUGCUCCCAGAACCACAGCCGCCGUUUUCUCACUGCAAUAUUUACUUUUCAGCUUCUGGCAACAAAUGGCCACAAACCGAUCAAAGGUGAAAGUGACGGUGAACCAGACAGAGCAGUCAGUGGCUGCAUAAAGCAGGACGGCGUGGAUAUUACACACGCGGACGGAGUCCCUCAGGAAAUAAAACUGUUCCCGAUAAACAAUGGGGAUGUGUCUCAGGAUCAGGUCGAGGAUAAUGACCAGGAGAUCCGCCGCUGCCAUGGCCCCCAGCAGGAACAUAAAAGCAUAUCUUCAAAUCGACCGAGACCAUUUUCUGCUCAGGGUAUGGCUCUGUGAAUGACAGCAGCAAUGAUGCACCGACAUGGGACAGGGAAUGUGAUGGAGACAUCGUUUGGACAAUGUACAUGGAAUAAUAUCUGGACAAAGUUCUUUCAAGUUACAAUUGCAGAGGUGUGUGUGUGUGUGUGUGUGUGUGUGUGUGUGUGUGUGUGUGUGUGUGUGUGUGUGUGUGUGUGUGUGUGUUAUAGAAAGGGAAAUAUUGAUUAUAUAUU